rnacentral:lncRNA from 1 species
AUUCAAUUGUUGCUAACUUGAGUUUCUUUUUCUCACUGUAACUAACUGAAAAUGCGACAAACCUUUCAUUCCCAUUCAAGUAGGCCUUAGGAUCAUUCUUCCCCUGAAAGCCUGGUACCUACAAUUUGAAAUCAUGGAGAUCCCCAUCUGUCUCUUCUCAACAACCUUUUUAUCGAUCAUCAACAUCAUCGACACAAGACUUU